UUUAUGUAUAUCAAAAACCCUCACAAAAUAAAGUUGACUUCUACAAAACUUCAGUCCCUCUGGCUGAAGAGACCUACGUUUGUUGCUUGCUUCAGAGUUGGCAUUUUCAAAUGUUAAAAGGAACAUAAAAAACUGACAGGCAAAACAUGUACAUUUGUGUUUUUAAUAGGAGAGGUUUAUUUCACCUGUGGUGGGAAGCACUACUAAAUAUAAUAAGAGCUGUACACAUUUUAAUAAAUGUGUAAGGGAGUGCUUCAUGGUAGGAUCCCAACCAGGAGGGAUAACUAGGCUCAUCCAUAUCAGAUGGGAUAUCUACCUCAAUACAGCUCCUUUCCUAUGAUAAC